rnacentral:rRNA from 1 species
UGAGGAAUAUUGCGCAAUGAGCGAAAGCUAGACGCAGCAACGCCGCGUGGACGAUGAAGGCCUUCGGGUCGUAAAGUCCUUUUCAGAGGGACGAGUGAGGACGGUACCUCUGGAAUAAGUCACGGCUAACUACGUGCCAGCAGCCGCGGUAAAACGUAGGUGGCGAGCGUUAUCCGGAUUCACUGGGCGUAAAGCGCCUGCAGGCGGUCUCGUAAGUGGGAUGUGAAAUCUCCUGGCUUAACUGGGAGGGGCCAUUCCAUACUGCGAGGCUUGAGGGCAGAAGAGGGAAGCGGAAUUCCCGGUGUAGUGGUGAAAUGCGUAGAUAUCGGGAGGAACACCAGUGGCGAAGGCGGCUUCCUGGCCUGCUCCUGACGCUAAGAGGCGGAAGCUAGGGGAGCGAACGGGAUUAGAAACCCCGGUAGUCCUAGCUAUAAACGAUGGAUACUGGGUGUCGGUGGUCCUAACCCCAUCGGUGCCGAAGCUAACGCGUUAAGUAUCCCGCCUGGGGACUACGGCCGCAAGAUUA